rnacentral:rRNA from 1 species
AUUGAACGCUGGCGGCAGGCCUAACACAUGCAAGUCGAACGAGUGGCGGACGGGUGAGUAAUGUCUGGGAAACUGCCUGAUGGAGGGGGAUAAAUACCGGAAACGGUAGCUAAUACCGCAUACCAUCGGAUGUGCCCAGAUGGGAUGAGCUAGUAGGUGGGGUAAAGGCGCACCUAGGCGACGAUCCCUAGCUGGUCUGAGAGGAUGACCAGCCACACUGUAACUGAGCCACGGUCCAGACCCCAACGGGAGGCAGCAGUGGGGAAUAUUGCACAAGGGGCUGAAGCCUGAUACAGCCAUGCCGCGUGUAUGAAGAAGGCCUUCGGGUUGUAAAGUACUUUCAGCGGGGAGGCGUUACCCGCAGAAGAAGCACCGGCUAACUCCGUGCCAGCAGCCGCGGUAAUAC